rnacentral:rRNA from 1 species
UGGGCUCGAAAUGGAGUGGACAGGAGUAGAAAUAUUCCCUCCCCGCAAGGGGCUGCUCUAUAGGUGCUGCAUGGCUGUCGUCAGCUCGUGUCGUGAGAUGUUGGGUUAAGUCCCGCAACGAGCGCAACCCUUAUUACCAGUUGCCAUCAUUAAGUUGGGCACUCAGGUGAGACCGCCUCGGAUAACGGGGAGGAAGGCGGGGAUGACGUCAAGUCCUCAUGGCCUUUAUGUCCAGGGCUACACACGUGCUACAAUGGCCGGUACAAACCGUCGCAAACCCGUGAGGGGGAGCUAAUCGGAAAAAGCCGGCCUCAGUUCGGAUUGUAGUCUGCAACUCGACUACAUGAAGCUGGAAUCGCUAGUAAUCGCGGAUCAGAAUGCCGCGGUGAAUACGUUCCC